CAUGAGAAAUGUGGGUUGAGGAAAGGGGGGGGGAUUCUUUAUGAGACAGAUUAGGGCAUCUGCUCCUCCCUUCCCUCAGAUUCUUAGAAGGCAUUCCUUUUGCUGUAUCUUUGGCGCCAUUUUCAUCCAGGAAACUUACUUGUUUAUUGUGUUACAGGCCAUGCUUUUUUCAGAUGAAGUUUUAAAAGGGGCUUACUUUAAAUAAACAAACAAAUUAACAACAAUAACAUACGAUGUAAAAAUGAUGCUGCAAAUGAAAAACACCACCACACAUGCAAUAAAAACAGCAGACUCAGGAGGCAAUCCUGUGCGUCACAGGUGACUAAUCCCUAGCCCAGGGGUCUGACGUGACAAGCAAGUCUUUCUGCCUCCCCCAGACCCCUCCAAAUUUGCUGGUGGUGGCGGCGACAAAGAAAAUGUAAUGUAGACAUGGGCACUACUUCCCAUGCUGUUUUGGAGGAUUGCCCAACCCCUUAGAGCAAAUUGAGAGCAGGGGCACAAGGGACUGCACGGAGAAGGAGAAAUCAGCAAAAAUCACCCCACCUCUUUUCACUUGCAGGAGCAUCCGGUUCAUUGAGAUCUGCUCGGCACAAUUUAUAAUUUAUAAUGUUUUGUUAUCCGUUUCCAUUUACCAAGAGUAUUUGCCUUGUUACUUGCCUCUGUAUAUGCCUGACAAGAAGUAAACCUUUUUUAAGACAUAAUUUUGUGAUUUAGAAUCCUAGAAUUAUAAUAUUUUUUUAUUAUAUGGGGUGUAAUCAUAGAAUUGUAAAGUUGAAAGGGAUCAGUACCAUGCUGUAACCAACUGAGCUAAAACUUCUAUGAUAUUUAAAUAUGUACACUGACAAUUCAAAAAGUAUUAGAGAUCAACCUUAUGAGAGAAAAUAAUUAAAUCUAAAACUAUUA